AAAAAAUAUGUACAAAUCAGGAAUAUAAAUCAAGAAAGAAAUUAAUUUAAUCCUGGAGUAAAAUGAGUCACCUUAGGCAGACGUGUGAUUGGGCGGCGAUGGUUGAUCGAUGGGAGGUGGAUGGCGCCUUAACUUAUAUGGUGGAUGGUGUCUAUGAAAGCAACUUAAAAAAUUUAGGGGUUAUAAGCUUGCAGGGAUUGCAAGAUUAUAGGUUGGUCGGCGGUGGCGGCUUGAUCGGAGAUGGUAUGUGGUGACUGAUGUGGGAGGGAAAGGAGAGGGUAAAGAAGAUGGGGUAAUUGAGAGAGAUGGAGGCACAAAGGUUAUCGACAGGGAAGAAAAGUUUGGGAAUAAACUUGCACAUGAUUCAAUCCAGCCUCCAAU
rnacentral:lncRNA from 1 species